AACGAACGCUGGCGGCAGGCUUAACACAUGCAAGUCGAACGCAUCCUUUGGGGUGCGUGGCAGACGGGUGAGUAACGCGUGGGAACGUGCCCUUCAGUUCGGGAUAACCCAGGGAAACUCGGGCUAAUACCGGAUACGUGCGAGAGCAGAAAGAUUUAUCGCUGAAGGAUCGGCCCGCGUCUGAUUAGCUAGGUGGUGGGGUAAUGGCCCACCAAGGCGACGAUCAGUAGCGGGUCUGAGAGGAUGAUCGGCCACAUUGGGACUGAGACACGGCCCAAACUCCUACGGGAGGCAGCAGUGGGGAAUAUUGGACAAUGGGCGCAAGCCUGAUCCAGCCAUGCCGCGUGAGUGAUGAAGGCCUUAGGGUUGUAAAGCUCUUUCGUCCGGGACGAUAAUGACGGUACCGGAAGAAGAAGCCCCGGCUAACUUCGUGCCAGCCGCCGCAGUAA
rnacentral:rRNA from 1 species